AAAGAUGUUGAAGGAUCUCUGUUUGUCGUCAAGAGGAAUGCUCAACCGCAGUUUCAGUUUAUCGUUAUGAAUCGCAGAAAUACAGGUUCAGAUUUGUUGAAAUUUUACUGUUCUUCAGAUUUGGUAUAAAGAUCCUUUAUAUUUGUAUAAGAUCAUGUUUUACUGUUUUGCUGAUUACGUUAAAUUGAAACCUAAUGAACUUGUUAUUGUUGCCAUUGCUGCGCAAAUCUUAAUUCCUGAACUAAUAAUAUCCAAAUGUAGUUACUGCUUAAUAUUAAUUCCAUGAUAGGUAAUCAAUCAAACAGUUUAUCUUUGAUGUUAUUGUCUGCUGAUUUCUUCUAAAUUAAUUAUCGUCACUAUGAAAUAUAUUUACUACUUUCUGCAUCAAACAGUUUUACUGUCCCUACUCUCUGUGUCGGUUGUGUGUAUGUCUGAAUCUGUGUCAUCUAUUCCCUAUUUGAUUUGACCACUUUCUGUGAUGUUUGUUAUGGCAGAAAAUCUAGUGGAGAAUCUAUUGGAUUUUGAGUAUGAACUUAAAAGUCCAUACUUGUUAUAUCGGAAUGCGUCGCAAGAAGUUAAUGGUAUAUGGUUUUAUAAUGCAGAAGAAUCUGAAGAAGUUGCAAAUCUCUUUAAUAGGAUUCUUACUGCACACCCAAAGGAGCCUUCAAAUACGACAGUGCCUUCAA